UACGUAGGUGGCAAGCGUUGUCCGGAUUUACUGGGCGUAAAGAGCGCGCAGGCGGUCGUUCAAGUCGCGUGUGAAAGCCCCCGGCUCAACUGGGGAGGGUCACGCGAUACUGAUCGACUCGAAGGCAGGAGAGGGUAGUGGAAUUCCCGGUGUAGUGGUGAAAUGCGCAGAUAUCAGGAGGAACACCGAUAGCGAAGGCAGCUCGCUGGGACGGUACUGACGCUGAGGUGCGAAAGCGUGGGGAGCGAACAGG
rnacentral:rRNA from 1 species